rnacentral:rRNA from 1 species
UAUUGGCCUACCGUGGCAAUGACGGGUAACGGGGAAUUAGGGUUCGAUUCCGGAGAGGGAGCCUGAGAAACGGCUACCACAUCUAAGGAAGGCAGCAGGCGCGCAAAUUACCCAAUCCUAAUACAGGGAGGUAGUGACAAGAAAUAACAAUACAGGACUUUAACAGUUUUGUAAUUGGAAUGAGUUGAGUAUAAACCCCUUUACAAGUAUCAAUUGGAGGGCAAGUCUGGUGCCAGCAGCCGCGGUAAUUCCAGCUCCAAUAGCGUAUAUUAAAGUUGUUGCAGUUAAAAAGCUCGUAGUUGGAUUUCUGUUAAUAAUUUAUAUAUAAUAUUUAACAUAUUUAUAUAAUAUUAACAUAAUUCAUAUUACUAUUUAUAGUAUAUGAAACUUUACUUUGAGAAAAUUAGAGUGCUUAAAGCAGGCUUUUGCCUUGAAUACUAGAGCAUGGAAUAAUAUUAAAUUUCUUAUUGUAGUU